rnacentral:rRNA from 1 species
AAAGCGUGCGUAGGCGGAUAUGUAAGUAAGAAGUGAAAGCCCAGGGCUCAACCCUGGAACUGCUUUUUAGACUGCAUGUCUUGAAUUCGGUAGAGGUUAGUGGAAUAUCCAGUGUAGAGGUGAAAUUCGCAGAUAUUGGAUGGAACAUCAGUGGCGAAGGCGACUAACUGGACCGAUAUUGACGCUGAGGUACGAAAGCGUGGGUAGCAAACAGGAUUAGAUACCCGUGU